GCCCUCUCGUUGCGCACCGCGCGGUUGGCUGCGCCAAAGCUGAAAGCCCACAGCUCACUCGAACCCUAGCCGCCACAUCCCGUCUUCCUCCCUAGCUCAGCAUCACAGGCGCCGGCGCGCCGCACCCCCUAUUCCUCCUUUCUCCUCGUCUGAAUAGCCGCCGGCCGCCGCACCGCUUCUUCCCCUUCCUCCUACCUCCCUUAUCCCUGCCCCCAAUCCACAUCCGCCUCCUCCCUUCCUUCCUUCCAGAUCGGGGAGUAAGAUGGCGGGCGGCAGAGCGUGGGGUCGAUGGCAGCGGCUGGACGAGGUCGUCCACAGGCGAGGAAUGGCCGCCAAGCUUGUUCCUCCGACCGCCGCACUGGAGCCCCGGUGGCUGAGCCUGCAGUGGCACCGGUAGUCCGUCCGUCCUCGUCCUCCUCCUCCUCUCUCUCUCUCUCCCGUGCAGCCGGCCUCCUCCCUCGUCGAUUGACUCGACCUCAGUCCACCUCUGUGUGCUCUCCUCCUAUUAUGCGGGCACUCGGCGGCAGGGAGCAUGGCGGCGACCGGGGCUGCUGGACAGUAGGGGCUCGCCGAGGUGGUCCAUGCCUGGGAAGACGGCGACAUCUUCCGGCGACAAGAUCAAUUAGAAGGCAGAAUUCUUGCUAGGUGGCUCAGGCCAAGCAUCGUUUCACAUUCAGGAAGUGAAGACGGCCAUUCGUCGUGCCAUGAGCUCCAUUCAUAUUACUAUAUGCUUAAAACAUCGUGCUCUCCUUAUCUACAUCAUGUGGUAGUAGUAUUUACUUGCCAUUCAUGCAUCUUGUUCCAUCAUGUCAGUCAUAUCUUACAUAUCACGCUUGACUGGUUUGUUCAAUUCCUCUACUAUGCUUUUCUGUCGUGUUUUUCAAACAUUCUCGGUUACUAUAGAUUAUCAUGAUAUCUUGCUGCAAUGCAUUCAAACCUGCAAAUAGCUUUGUAAACAGAGUUAUGUGCCCAGGCUUUGGCGGAGGUGUGCUCUUGUCUUGUCUUUCAUAAUAUUCGCCUUUAUUGCGUGCACAAUCAGUUGGUGGUACCCAGCGGAGGUUGAAUUGUUAGUACUUAUGCCUCUGAUUUUGUGGGGUAGUUAGUGUAUGCCUGCAUGCCUCAUUGGAAAUAUUACUGCAUGAUACCAUACAGAUAUUUCAGUUUAUAAACUGAUAAGGUAAUUAUGAGUUUAUUAGAGAGUACAGAUUUGCUCAGCUACUAGCCUACAAUGACUUAUAUAUUUGUAAAUAGUGAAGUACUCUAUGCACCUUAAAAAUAAUCUUUAAGUGAAAGAUGCAGUUACUUUACAUUAGUACCUUCGCCAUUUAGGCAGGGUGGAGGCGACGCACAAGGACGCCUCUAGCACGUUCACCGCCAGCCGUUGCCGUUGCUUUCUUCUUUUUUGGCUUAUAUUUCUUAAUACCUAAAGUGAAUGCCUGGUACUCAUUCUCCUAAUGUUUCAAGGUAUUUCUCAUUAUUAGAGCAUUUACAUUGCUUUACAGAGUAUACAUCAAGCACAGUUGAAGUACAUAUCAAAUAGUUGUAUUCCAGAGUUGUUUGAUUCGCAUGAUAAAGAUUCUAAAAAUAGUUCCCAUGCCAUAAUAAGUUAUAAUGUUUUGUUUCUCUUAUAUUUAUAUGUUUACACCACUGCUUUUGUUCCAAUUUUAUUGGAGGCUCAUAUUAGGUCGCUUUGGAGGUUGAAAUCAGGUGGCUGCUCAUGUCUGGCUUGGUGGCUUGGUGCCUAUAUUUUAGAUGUUCCAUUAAUCUUGGCUGCUUUUCUCACCAGUUUUGGGCUUUAACCUUGGGUAAAUGGACUAAUCUUUUCCUUGUCUGUAAACUGUCUGCUGACAUGCUUAUGCUCUAACAAGUUCCUCUGCUUUCAUUUCUCACGUUGUCAGAUCUAGAAGGUUGCAGCUUCUUUGUUCUCCUACUCAAGAUUUGCUCACUUUCUAGCUGGUUGCUGCAUCAUUUACUUUUUCCUCUGUUCAAGGAUGUAUCGUACACAUUGUCACCUUUUUCCUCUAUUCAGAUAUCGGUGUUGCCUAAUUAAAAAAUGAACAACAAUACCAGUUGUACCAGUUGAAGUUUUUUCUUUCUGAAUUGAGUAGUUAAGAGUUCAGUCUUCCUAUAGAAUCUUCAGGAGUUUAGUUAGGCAUUCUGAAAAAGAGAAGUCUUGUUGAUCAGACGGCUAAACGCUCAUAUCGCUCCUAAACUUGAUACACUGUUUUCCUUUUGAUAUGUCUUGCCAAGCAGAGCGACCAAUGCAAGGAGGACCAAGAUCUAGGACGGUGAGCCUCGCCUAGCUCUUCCACCUCUUCCACCUAUUAUGGAGGAGGGACGAAGGGGGAGAAGAUUACAGCAUGAUUCAGGAUCAGUUGAGGGUUGAAUGCUUCAAUGGUUCCAGAAAGCUUCAUCCACAAUCCUGACAAAUAUUUCCUUUGAUGUCACAAAGCAUACCAAGAAUUUGAAGUGAGUACGUUUUAUCCCAGCUAACUUGUCAGGCUGUCACCUUUUAGCGAUGUCAUGAAAAAUGAACAUAUGGCAGUCAUUUAUUAUUAAUCUUGUGGUGACAUAUGCAUGACUAUUAGUAGAAUACUUUGUAGUAAGUUGUGUGUAAAUGUUGUGUAGAGAAGGCGAUAGGGAGACUGACGGGGCAUAGAGUGCUUCCGUGUGUUGGGGUAUUUAGCUGAUUGCUCAUUUGGGAGCACUCAAUAGCAUGUUGCAUCUUUAAUUUUAUGAAAUAAAUGCCUUCCUUUGUUUGCUCAUUUUCUUCUGAUAUAAAGGUUUAGAUAUUAGGUAUUUGGUACUCAAGACCAUUUAACUUUCUUUUUUCAUAUAUGAGUAUAGCUGGAUUAUUCAUGUUUCUUACAAUCAAGAAUUUUCCCAUUCAGGUAGAUUGUGAAUUAUUCCUGACAUUUCAGCAAAAUAUCCAUUAUUUCUAUCUGGAAGAUUCUGGGUUGAACUCUCGGAGACUCUUUACGCCGAGACUCUUUACCCGAUAUCAACUCUCUCUCCAUGCAGCUCUUCUUUUGAUUCUGUCCAAUUCCUGGCGAUCGGCACGGACCAGAAUACCAUCGCGCAUGCCCUUGGUGUGUGUGCCAGAACUAAAAAGGAUCUACAUAAGAUUGCAGGGGUCUCUGUAGCUACGUGAAGCAGUUAAAUCGGAUUGUAAACAAGGCUCCCGAGUAGUUUCUACUCUAUAUCUCAUUCUGAAGAAAAAAACUUUCAAAAUCGCAAUGUAUUUCACUCCUUAUGUUUAGGUUAAGCGAAGAACUUCCUUUCAGUGAAUCUCGCUCCUUUUGUUAAA